rnacentral:rRNA from 1 species
AACGAACGCUGGCGGCAGGCCUAACACAUGCAAGUCGAGCGCAGUCCUUCGGGACCGAGCGGCGGACGGGUUAGUAACGCGUGGGAACAUACCCUUUUCUACGGAAUAGCCUCGGGAAACUGAGAGUAAUACCGUAUAAGCCCUUCGGGGGAAAGAUUUAUCGGGAAAGGAUUGGCCCGCGUUAGAUUAGAUAGUUGGUGGGGUAAUGGCCUACCAAGUCUACGAUCUAUAGCUGGUUUUAGAGGAUGAUCAGCAACACUGGGACUGAGACACGGCCCAGACUCCUACGGGAGGCAGCAGUGGGGAAUCUUAGACAAUGGGCGCAAGCCUGAUCUAGCCAUGCCGCGUGUGUGAUGAAGGUCUUAGGAUCGUAAAGCACUUUCGCCAGGGAUGAUAAUGACAGUACCUGGUAAAGAAACCCCGGCUAACUCCGUGCCAGCAGCCGCGGUAAUACGGAGGGGGUUAGCGUUGUUCGGAAUUACUGGGCGUAAAGCGUACGUAGGCGGAUCAGAAAGUUAGGGGUGAAAUCCCGAGGCUCAACCUCGGAACUGCCUCUAAAACUCCUGGUCUUGAGUUCGAGAGAGGUGAGUGGAAUUCCAAGUGUAGAGGUGAAAUUAGUAGAUAUUUGGAGGAACACCAGUGGCGAAGGCGGCUCACUGGCUCGAUACUGACGC